rnacentral:rRNA from 1 species
CAGUCGCCGCGGUAAUACGAAGGGUGCAAGCGUUAAUCGGAAUUGCUGGGCGUAAAGCGUGCGCAGGCGGUUAUAUAAGACAGAUGUGAAAUCCCGGGCUCAACCUGGGACCUGCAUUUGAGACUGUAUAGCUAGAGUACGGUAGAGGGGGAUGGAAUUCCGCGUGUAGCAGUGAAAUGCGUAGAUAUGCGGAGGAACACCGAUGGCGAAGGCAAUCCCCUGGACCUGUACUGACGCUCAUGCACGAAAGCGUGGGGAGCAAACAGGAUUAGAUACCCCAGUAGUCCCUGUCUCUUAUACA